rnacentral:rRNA from 1 species
UUGGAGGGCAAGUCUGGUGCCAGCAGCCGCGGUAAUUCCAGCUCCAAUAGCGUAUAUUAAAGUUGUUGCAGUUAAAAAGCUCGUAGUUGAAUUUCGGGAUUGACGUGAUGGUCAUGCCUUAAGGGGUAUGAACUGUUACUGUUGAUUUCUCACCUUCUGGAGAAACUUGAUGUCCUUUAUUGGGUGUCUAUUGGAUCCAGGGCCUUUACCUUGAAAAAAUUAGAGUGUUUAAAGCAGGCAUUUUUGCUCGAAUACAUUAGCAUGGAAUAAUAGAAUAGGACGGCAUGGUUCUAUUUUGUUGGUUUCUAGGAUCACCGUAAUGAUUAAUAGGGAUAGUUGGGGGCAUUAGUAUUCAAUUGUCAGAGGUGAAAUUCUUGGAUUUAUUGAAGACUAACUACUGCGAAAGCAUUUGCCAAGGAUGUUUUCAUUAAUCAAGAACGAAAGUUAGGGGAUCGAARACGAUCAGAUACCGUCGUAGUCUUAACCAUAAACUAUGCCGACUAGGAAUCAGACGAUGUUAAUUUUUUAAUGACUCGUUUGGCACCUUACGGGAAACCAAAG